rnacentral:rRNA from 1 species
UUUAUUCCAGGCACAUUUUCCAA